GAAAUAUUAGUUAAUCAAUAACAAUGUCUUGUCAAGGCAUAAUUACUACCAAAGUAUAUUUCU
rnacentral:tRNA from 1 species